rnacentral:rRNA from 1 species
UACGUAGGGUGCGAGCGUUGUCCGGAAUUAUUGGGCGUAAAGAGCUCGUAGGCGGUCUGUCGCGUCUGCUGUGAAAACUCGGGGCUUAACCCCGGGCCUGCAGUGGGUACGGGCAGACUAGAGUGCGGUAGGGGAGACUGGAAUUCCCGGUGUAGCGGUGAAAUGCGCAGAUAUCGGGAGGAACACCAAUGGCGAAGGCAGCUCGCUGGGACGUUACUGACGCUGAGACGCGAAAGCGUGGGGAGCAAACAGG